UACGAAGGGGGCUAGCGUUGCUCGGAAUCACUGGGCGUAAAGGGUGCGUAGGCGGGUCUUUAAGUCAGGGGUGAAAUCCUGGAGCUCAACUCCAGAACUGCCUUUGAUACUGAAGAUCUUGAGUUCGGGAGAGGUGAGUGGAACUGCGAGUGUAGAGGUGAAAUUCGUAGAUAUUCGGAAGAACACCAGUGGCGAAGGCGGCUCUCUGGACCACAACUGACGCUGAGGCGCGAAAGCUAGGGGAGCAAACAGGG
rnacentral:rRNA from 1 species